GUUUGAUCCMSCUCAGAACGAACGCUGGCGGCAGGCUUAACACAUGCAAGUCGAACGGUCUCUUCGGAGGCAGUGGCAGACGGGUGAGUAACGCGUGGGAACAUACCUUUCGGUACGGAACAACAGUUGGAAACGACUGCUAAUACCGUAUACGCCCUGAGGGGGAAAGAUUUAUCGCCGAGAGAUUGGCCCGCGUUGGAUUAGCUAGUUGGUGGGGUAAUGGCCUACCAAGGCGACGCACUCCAUAGCUGGCUCUGAGAGGAUGAUCAGCCACACUGGGACUGAGACACGGCCCAGACUCUACGGGAGGCAGCAGUGGGGAAUAUUGGACAAUGGGCGCAAGCCUGAUCCAGCCAUGCCGCGUGAGUGCAUGAAGGCCUUAGGGUUGUAAAGCUCUUUCGCCGGUGAAGAUAAUGACGGUAACCGGUAAAGACAGCCCCGGCUAACUUCGUGCCAGCAGCCGCGGUAAUACGAAGGGGGCUKGCGUUGUUCGGAAUUACUGGGCGUAAAGCGCACGUAGGCUGACUUUUAAGUCAGGGGUGAAAUCCCGGGGCUCAACCUCGGAACUGCCUUUGAUACUGGAAGUCUUGAGUCCGAGAGAGGUGAGUGGAACUCCGAGUGUAGAGGUGAAAUUCGUAGAUAUUCGGAAGAACACCAGUGCGAAGGCGGCUCACUGCUCG
rnacentral:rRNA from 1 species